UUUAGACACUGUGCAAGGAAACACAAGGCAAGAGGCCAUCUUACUCCCUUUAGAGGCAGAGUUUGAAGAUUUGGCUGUGUCUUGGCCAGUGCUCUCAAAAGGAAAAUGUGAAAAAAGUGUAAUAAAAGGACUCUGUUUAAAUCCACAGAAGCUGAGAUCCAGCCCAAAGCAAGGCAGCAUGAAAAUAAGAAUAAUUCCUUUCAGAAAUAAUUAUUUCAUGGAGAUCAGAUGUGACACCCUGGUCCUGUUGGCACCAGUGAC
rnacentral:lncRNA from 1 species